ACCGACUGGCUGUGUGACCUUGGACAAGGCAGGGCUCUCGCUUUGUUUACAAAUACAGGGAUUGGUCUAGAAAGUUUCCAACACGCCUCCAGUCCCAACAUUCAUCAUUCUUUUUGGAUGCAGUGAUUCAGUGGGAACACUUGGGAAAGAGGGAUCGGCUGACCUUGGGCUGACCUUGAGCUGACUGAUCAGCUCUGGCAGCCAAAGGAACACAAGGAACGCACCCCUCUCCAGCCCAGCCUCAUGCCAGGGACUGAUUCAUGGCUCAGCCACAGGAGUCGGACAUUGCCUCAUGCUGGUGGUGAGGCAUGGGCCUUUUGUUAGGCCAAGUUUAGACGGGAGCUCCAAGGCACAACGCUAUGUACCAGGUGUUCUGCUACACACUGGGGCGUGGAAGAAAGAUGACCACCACAGGAGUUUACACGUAGUGGGGAGGCGUAAAAUAAACAAGUCAAACAGAACGGCUGUUCAGAUAAAGCAAAAGGAUGGACUGCAUGGGAUUGGGACGAUCUCUCUGUCUUCUUUAAAGUAAGUUCUGAAUAGUAAAAAGUGGGGGGGGGGGAGACAGAGAGAGAGAGAGGGAGAGGGAGAGGGAGAGAGAGAGAGAGAGAGAGAGAGAGAGAGAGCCAGCACACUGUCCCUGUAGCAGAAAUAAACUUGGCAUGGUAAAGAAACAGAGUGAAGAAUACAUGCAGGGCGGGGGAGCAGGAGUGGGUGGCUUGAGGUUGGAGAGCAGGCUGGGACCAGGUCCCACAGGUUACUGUUAGUGCACUGGGAUGCCACUGUGGUGCCCUGGGAAGGGUCCAGGUGAGACUUCUUGGAGGCAUUUUGAGAAGAGUCCCCUGGUAACCAGGGACUUCUGCUCUUCCUGUGUGGAAAUGCCCCUACACCCCUCCUCUGUACUCCGGGGAAGAGGGAUGUCUUUUUCAGGCACUGGGCCUGCUCAGCUGUUGGGAUGUCUGUCUGUACCUUCAUGGGAGGGAGAUGUCCUUGAAACAGAGUGGGUUCCUUGAAGAAAGAAGCCACAAACUUGGCGUUGACCAACUUCUCAUUAGCCAAGUUUCUUUCAGUUGGGAGUAAUAAACACAAUGCAAAUUAGGGAAAGUUGAAAGGCCAUUUGUUGGAAGCCAAAGUCAUGGCAGGGGUAGAUUAUGCCUCAGGGAAUCUGUGUCAAGACUCUCUCUGUCACUGGAUGCUCCCCCUUCUGUAUUUUUUGUGAUUUUAUUCUCUCUUGUCUAGAAGAGCGUCUUCCCAAAUGGAAGCGCUGCCCAUGCCUUUGGAAGGCCCACAUUCUGGAAUCAGUUCUUGGAAAUGUUCUAAGUCCCCUCCCAAACCUGAUUAUCAGUGCCAUCUGGACAGGGUACCCUAAGCCAAAGCCUCAUCUCUUCACCGUGGAGCAUCUUCAUGUUGUCACUGCUCUGUGUGUCACCCAGAUAUUCUGAGGAACUUCAAGGCUCUCCUCUGUGUGAUUAUCCCGAGACCCUGGGAUUUAGACUCAGUUCAUCACCAGGAAGAUGGCCUGGUGGGGAGAUUACUCCCGUAGGCUGGUGUGGUAUUUCUCUCACUGAACCUCAUGAACUCAGAGAUGUUUUGGCAUGCUAGCUCAGGAAGUUCUUUUUGUUUGUUUGUUUUGUUUUGUUUUUCAAGACAGGGUUUCACUACGUAGCUCUGGCAAUCCUGGAACUCUGUUUGUAGGCCAGGUUGUCCUUGAACUGAAGAUCUGCCUGCCUCUGCCUCCUGAGUGCUAGGAUUAAAGGUAUGUACCACCAUUGCCCAGUAACCCAACUUAAGAUGUUCUUAACUCCCACCUGUUAGGAAGAGUGCUGGGCUGCAUUAGCCCCAGGCUGCACUGUCUGGACACCCAGGCAUCUCUCUCUGCUGCCUGAGUUCUGAUUAUGGUAUGCACUGCUCUUUGCUGGGCUCUGUCCCAAACUGUGUCUGGUCCUCCAAGGGUUCCAGAUCAUUGUUGCAUAAGGCCAACAAGCCAUUCCAACUUAGGAUUGCUGUCCUCUCUGGCUCAUGAUUGAUGUGCUGGCUUUGUGUCCACAUUCCAGAUGAGUAACACUGAAUGACUGUGCUCUGGCCCCUGCCCAUCUCACUCACGUGGAUGGGGCCCACAACCAUUGGUAGUUGGUAUCUUUCUGCUGCAUUUCCAUUUGUCUCUCCUCCCUCCUCAGUGUAGAUAAGCCUUACACAGACAGACUAGUUAGUUCAAAGGAGGAGCCAUUGAAUGAAACCGCCUGUUCACUCAGAUUGACUUGGAAAUAACUCAGAUAUUUUAUGAUUGCUCCUUGAAAAUUAGAAAGGGAUUCUUUGCACACACCCAACAGCUUACCUUGCCAAAGUGGCCAGGAGACACGGGGCUUUUCUUCACUUCUGCUCCUCCCUCCUAGUACCUUCUUGUCCAUAUUUGUGAUGCCCAAUGUGAAGCCUUCCAGAAAGGCAUGGUUGGUAGUGCCUGGAAUAUACCUUGUCUAAUUUGGUAUGAUUUUAAAUACUUGGCAUGAAAAAAAAAAGAAUUGAAGACUAUCUAUAUAAUAUUUGAAUUUUUAAUUUAUAUU